rfam:Schizopora paradoxa strain KTC8140 unplaced genomic scaffold SCHPAscaffold_00279, whole genome shotgun sequence.
GGGCGUCUAGCUCAGGGGUAGUAGCGCACGCUUCGCAUCCUCGAAUUGCCUGCGUGAGGUCGUGAGUUCGAAUCUUACGUCGUCCA